UUACGAGCCCUUGCCUCCACUUCGGCUUGUGUUCCUGGAGCAGCUAGGGUUACAAAUCUCGUUGCAGUUGAUGAUGAGCGGCGGGGCGUAUAAUUUUCUCGCCGCCUCCCUGCCUUCGCGGUUUGCUUGAAAGUGUGAAAUUGAAGUGUGAAUGCCAGGCUUUAACUCCAUUUCUGGGUGGGGCUUUGUUCUAGAGCAAGGAAUGUUAACUCUCAGUCAGAUGCUUUCGGCUGUGUGCUCAGUAAUAACUGUGUAUUGAUACACUCUUAGUACGAACAUACGAACGUUUCUCUGUUUUGGAAUACUGUAUCUGAGGAUUUGCGCUUUUAGAGGCGAAGCGUGGACUGUAAGUGUCAGGAAGCUGUUUACUGUGCUGGUUUUUUUUUUUUCGCUCGGACCAGGCGUGGUAUCGAUUCUCGCCGCAUCUGCAGCAGGAAGGAGGUUACGAAGUGUUGCGAUGAGUAUCGGUUUGGGGUUUGUCCAGUUCCCAAAUCAGCCAGAGAUAGAUGAUGCUGCUGCAAUUGCGGAUAACGGCGAUCCUCCGCCACACCCUGGGAGCCCGCGUUUCAAUCAAUUACCCUUCCUCCGCGCGGAUGAGGUUGAAGAAUUUCUUAACGUAGAUGCUCCGAACCGCGGCCAAAACCAGCCUCUCGAGGACGACUUGGAUCUAGCUGUUCCGGACCAGGUCCAAAACCAGGCUCACGAGGAGCUAGGUAACUUAAUUCAACGACACCCCGCUGGCAUCUUCGGUGUGGAGUACUGGGAAGUGUACUCGGGCUUGGAUUACAUCGAUGAGGUGGUCAAAGAGUUUGCUCAAGAGGAGGAAUUAGAGGACGACGAGAAGGUGGUGGAUAGCUCACCAUCGGACAACUCAAUUCAACCUUAUGCCACUGGCAUUGACUCUGCGGAGUACGGGGAAGUGGACGCAAGCUCGGAUUACAGCGAUGAGUUGGUAAACGCAGAUCCUGAAGAGGAGGAAUCAGAGAAGGACGAGAACGAAGAGAAGGUGCUGGACAGUGAACCAUCAGAACCGCCAUCCAAACGGAUACGUGCUGUCGACAAUCCCUCCGUCGAGCUGAGCCCUUCAAUAUCUGUUGACAACAAGCUUCUGCAUGAAAUCUUUCCUCCGAAUCAGUCCAUUGCAAUGAUGGGUGUACAGGACGUGUCAAUACGGGAUGCCGACGCCUCUCUUCCGUUCGGAUCUGUGCUGGAGCGCUCACCAUGAUUUGCCACCAUUCGAAUUUCAGCUCACUGAUGACUGGCGGCUCACGUAUUGUUUAAAGUCUCUGCAAACCAAUGAAUGCACAUGAAGCAAGGAUUUAAAAUUUCCGUCAUGACAUCGGUAGACGCAAAGUUCGCGUUUGGAAAUUAUAAGGUCGCCGGACUUUGACUCCCUUGCUUCUCUCAACUUAAGCUUUCUAACCAUGCCGGAACAUCAGUUCCUAGUCAUAUGUACUGCUCACGUUGGUUGGGGACCCCUCUAUACUUAAAAGUGCUCGCUCUUAUCUGUCACGGCAAAAAUUACAAAGAGUAGAUUCAUCAAACUUAGCAUCUUUGUAUUGGUGGUGAAUUUGAUGAUAUCAAAAAAAUGUCUCUUGCUACCGUUUACUUCAAGUGCUGCCAAUUAUAGUAUUUAUCCACUAUUCUGUAAAUCAGUUUUAGUGAUAUAAUGUAAUUGAGAUAAUUAAUAAAUAUAUGUGUGUAUUUAUUCA